AUCGGAAAAAUUGAACAACAAAUUACACAGGCACGCAAACGCGUAUUUGGUUUGGAGUGUGAAUGAAACGUACUUACCGCUGGUGUCAUGCCAAAAGCAUAAACUUGCGCAAAGAGCUCAUACUUUUGUGAUUACUUUUAUUCCCGCGCAGAUUCAGUGAAUUUUUCCUCCGUAAUGGGAUUUGUGAGGAUUUUAGAAAUGUCCAAAUGGUGCAAACUAAAUUAGGAUUUCUAGGCGCAAACUCACUUCCCACCCCAUCAGCAUCGUCACCGCCAUCAGCUUUAACACGUGUGUUUCGCCGCUGGGCCUUCCGCCGCUGGGCCCAACGUUUCUUUCUCUGCGGUCUACGGCAAGCGAAGUUUGACAGCGCAGUUAUAUCACCACGUGUAAAACCUGCACAAUGUACGCUUAUGUGCGCUUCAAGGACGACGGCGUGAAGGUUGUCUGCACGAAGAAAGAAUUAAGAGAUUUUCUCCGUAUAGUAUCAAAGACUUCGACAACAAACAAUGGUACAGUGUACGCUGGGAUGACGAAAACAGCGGAUAUUUCAGAGCCCAGAUUAUGAAGUUGUUUGUAACCAAAGAGGAGGCUGAUGCUUCCGCGGAAAGCUCGAGCAAGAGAUUUUCCUGCCCCCAAAUGCCUAUGGACAGCAGUUUAGAAGGCGACACCGAAGCGAGCGGAGAAUCCUACAGAAAGCACAAAAGUGAAAAACAAGUGCCAAAAUCUCGUGUGAAGGAUACCGAGG
rnacentral:lncRNA from 1 species